AGAAACUUGGCAAGUGGACAUUUUAUAUCCUGAUAAUUCAUAAUGAAUGGUCCACAGUAUCAAAGUAACAACAGGGUUACUCUCAGGAAAAAAAAAUUGGAAAUGCAUUGCAUCAAAAUAAAAUUCUAACAAGUGUGCAGAAAUAUGAAAUGCCUUUGCGUAGUGUUGUGUUAGUGUUUCAUAGCCCAACACAUAGUGUUUCACAACAAAUAAAUGAAUUAAAAAGCAUUAAAAGAAA